GUGGGGAAUAUUGGACAAUGGGCGAAAGCCUGAUCCAGCCAUGCCGCGUGUGUGAAGAAGGUCUUCGGAUUGUAAAGCACUUUAAGUUGGGAGGAAGGGCAGUAAGUUAAUACCUUGCUGUUUUGACGUUACCGACAGAAUAAGCACCGGCUAACUUCGUGCCAGCAGCCGCGGUAAUACGAAGGGUGCAAGCGUUAAUCGGAAUUACUGGGCGUAAAGCGCGCGUAGGUGGUUUUGUAAGUUGGAGGUGAAAUCCCCGGGCUCAACCUGGGAACUGCCUCCAAAACUGCAUGACUAGAGUACGGUAGAGGGUAGUGGAAUUUCCUGUGUAGCGGUGAAAUGCGUAGAUAUAGGAAGGAACACCAGUGGCGAAGGCGACUACCUGGACUGAUACUGACACUGAGGUGCGAAAGCAUGGGGAGCAAACAGGAUUAGAAACCCCUGUAGUCC
rnacentral:rRNA from 1 species